rnacentral:rRNA from 1 species
UACGUAGGGACCGAGCGUUGUCCGGAUUCAUUGGGCGUAAAGAGCUCGUAGGCGGUCUGUCGCGUCGGAUGUGAAAAUCCAGGGCUUAACCCUGGACCUGCAUUCGAUACGGGCAGACUAGAGUUCGGUAGGGGAGACUGGAAUUCCUGGUGUAGCGGUGAAAUGCGCAGAUAUCAGGAGGAACACCGGUGGCGAAGGCAGCUCUCUGGGACGGUACUGACGCUGAGACGCGAAAGCGUGGGGAGCGAACAGG